UACGUAGGGGGCGAGCGUUAUCCGGAAUUAUUGGGCGUAAAGAGUACGUAGGCGGGAAAUUAAGCGCAGGGUUUAAGGCAAAGGCUUAACCAUUGUUCGCCCUGUGAACUGAUUUUCUUGAGUGCAGGAGGGGAAAGCGGAAUUCCUAGUGUAGCGGUGAAAUGCGUAGAUAUUAGGAGGAACACCAGUGGCGAAGGCGGCUUUCUGGACUGUAACUGACGCUGAGGUACGAAAGUGUGGGGAGC
rnacentral:rRNA from 1 species